UACGUAGGCAGCAAGCGUUGUUCGGAAUUACUGGGCGUAAAGAGUGUGUAGGCGGUGUCUUAAGUUUGUUGUGAAAUCUCCCGGCUUAACCGGGAGGGUGCGGCGAAUACUGAGAUGCUGGAGUGCCGGAGAGGUAAGCGGAAUUCCUGGUGUAGCGGUGAAAUGCGUAGAUAUCAGGAGGAACACCUGCGGUGUAGACGGCUUACUGGACGGUAACUGACGCUGAGGCACGAAAGCGUGGGUAGCAAACAGG
rnacentral:rRNA from 1 species